ensembl:ncRNA Y105E8A.50 ncRNA
CGAAAAAUCCUACUUUUUAGCUCAAAAUUCUGGAAAAAACUCGUGUUUUUUCACCGAAAAGCCUGCAUUUUCCUUCUCGUGGACUUGAAUGUU